UACGUAGGGUGCGAGCGUUGUCCGGAAUUAUUGGGCGUAAAGGGCUCGUAGGCGGUUUGUCGCGUCGGGAGUGAAAACCUUGGACUUAACUCAGGGCUUGCUUUCGAUACGGGCAGACUAGAGGUAUGCAGGGGAGAACGGAAUUCCUGGUGUAGCGGUGAAAUGCGCAGAUAUCAGGAGGAACACCGGUGGCGAAGGCGGUUCUCUGGGCAUGAUCUGACGCUGAGGAGCGAAAGUGUGGGGAGCGAACAGG
rnacentral:rRNA from 1 species